UGGGGAAUAUUGGACAAUGGGCGCAAGCCUGAUCCAGCAAUGCCGCGUGUGUGAAGAAGGCCUUCGGGUUGUAAAGCACUUUUAUCAGGAGCGAAACGCUGUCGGCUAAUACCCGGCGGAACUGACGGUACCUGAGGAAUAAGCACCGGCUAACUUCGUGCCAGCAGCCACGGUAAUACGAAGGGUGCAAGCGUUAAUCGGAAUUACUGGGCGUAAAGCGUGCGUAGGCGGUUUCUUAAGUCUGCUGUGAAAUCCCCGGGCUCAACCUGGGAAUGGCAGUGGAUACUGGGAGGCUAGAGUGUGUCAGAGGGUGGUGGAAUUCCCGGUGUAGCGGUGAAAUGCGUAGAGAUCGGGAGGAACAUCAGUGGCGAAGGCGGCCACCUGGGACAACACUGACGCUGAGGCACGAAAGCGUGGGGAGCAAACAGGAUUAGAUACCCUGGUAGUCCACGCCCUAAACGAUGCGAACUGGAUGUUGGUCUCAACUCGGAGAUCAGUGUCGAAGCUAACGCGUUAAGUUCGCCGCCUGGGGAGUACGGUCGCAAGACUGAAACUCAAAUGAAUUGACGGGGUCAUAGCUGUUUCCUG
rnacentral:rRNA from 1 species